AGCUUUCUGAAUCUGUACUGAAACUUCAUCAGACACCAAUGCACCGGAGCUGAUAAAACUCUAAAGAUAAGUGAAGUA
rfam:Schistosoma mattheei strain Denwood, Zambia genome assembly, scaffold: SMTD_scaffold0007688